GUAGGGAAUAUUGGACAAUGGGGGAAACCCUGAUCCAGCAAUGCCGCGUGAGCGAUGAAGGCCUUAGGGUUGUAAAGCUCUUUUACCCGGGAUGAUAAUGACAGUACCGGGAGAAUAAGCUCCGGCUAACUUCGUGCCAGCAGCCGCGGUAAUACGAGGGGAGCUAGCGUUGUUCGGAAUUACUGGGCGUAAAGCGCACGUAGGCGGCUAUUUAAGUCAGGGGUGAAAGCCCGGAGCUCAACUCCGGAACUGCCCUUGAGACUGGAUAGCUAGAAUCUUGGAGAGGCGGGUGGAAUUCCGAGUGUAGAGGUGAAAUUCGUAGAUAUUCGGAAGAACACCAGUGGCGAAGGCGGCCCGCUGGACAAGUAUUGACGCUGAGGUGCGAAAGCGUGGGGAGCAAACAGGAUUAGAUACCCCAGUAGUCC
rnacentral:rRNA from 1 species